CCCAACCGACCUAUGCUUGAGAUCUCUUAGGGGGAUCUUUUAAAUUGUUGCAAACCUCCCACGCUCACUUGUGAUUUUAAAAGGGAGGAAGGCGCCCAUUGAGCGGCCGCUGCGCAGGGCCGUGCCCACAGCCCCGGAUGCCUCGGCCAGGACUUGGCUCCCCCGGCUGCCUCUGCUCCAGUCUCAGCGCGGGCCAGGGGCUAGGGGGAUUGGGGAUAGCGGGCGGGGCUUGUGUUAGUGAACCGCCCAGCCCAGCGAGGGAAAAGGGAAAGUUGGGAAAGUUAAGAGGACCAUCUGGGAGAAAGCCACUGGAGAGAAGAAUGAGGUGAUUCUGACCUCAUUCAAGGUGGCUCAACCCUUUUGUCCUAGUGUCUGCCAAGCAGACCUCAGGCCAAGGAUUCCCCUGAAAAGCCAGGCUCAGCAGCACCCACCAGACCCACUAACUGGAAAAGGGCAAGACUACACCACACUGGUCAGGGGACCCCAAAGUCCCUCCUCCCUCAGCUUUCUCCUCCC
rnacentral:lncRNA from 1 species